ensembl:lncRNA
AAGAAGGUUGAGCGCAACAGGAAACGGCCUGUGGCUAGACUGGAGCCUGAGUGCAGAAAGCGGGGGAUAACCACAACUAAAUAAAAGAAAUACUCUGAGAAGCAGGAGCCCUAUCAGACUGCUGGAUCCAGGGGAGCAAUUGGCCUGUUAGGACAGUGAUGACCAACAGAAAUAGUAUAAACACGAACCUUAAAGGAGCAGAGUCUGGGAUGGAAGAAAAAAAUGGCUGAAGCGGUGAAGAAACCCCCCUCCCCACGCCGCCAACCGCAUCGUCCCCGAUGGGGGCCGUUUUGCAGGCGGCUGAGAUUUCUCUUGCGGUCAGAGGGUCUGCGCCCAUCAGCAUGGUUUGCACUUCUCACCGCACUGGGUCAGGGGCGAGGAUGGGGG